rnacentral:tRNA from 1 species
GCUGGCUUAGAUCAAUGGUAGAUCGUCUCCCUCCUACACCUGCCGGGUGUCGUAGGAGAAGGCUGCGGGUUCGAGUCCCGUGGUCAGUG